AGGUCAUUGUGUCUAAGCCCAAAGCCAUGAGAUGGAGGAAUACACUCUUCCCUCAUUGAGGAGAUCAACAUCUGGACCCUCCAGCUCACAACUUUCCAAGUGCCAGUCCAUUUCACAAAGCAACUCGGAACUUUCAUGAAAAACAAUCAAUAUAAAUGCCCUGGCCAUAAAGAAGAGUAGCCCUGGAGGGCCUCACUCAAGAGAAUUAGAACAUGAGGCCUACUUUAGUAAAGAUAAGCAAGGUUAUAUUGCAGGAAACAAAACUUUCAGGGGCUCAGCACAAUGCAAACUUAUUUCCCACUUAUCUUGAGUGGGCCAUGAGUCAGGACCACUCUCCUUUCAGGCGGUAUCAAUCUUUUGGCCCCUGCAUGUCAACCUCUGCUUCCAUUAUCAUCGUCACAGGGAAUGACAAAACUCAGUAGUCAAGCAUCAGCAAUUAAGUGCUGCAGGUACUACAUCUGCACAUAUUUCACUGUCCAAACAAGUCUCAUGGUCAUGGCUAACUUGAAAGGGGCAAUAAAAUCACAUCAUCCCAUGUGGCUAGAAAGGGAGAGAAACUUGAAAUCAUGCUGAACCAUAAUAAUGGUAAAGGCAAAGUCUGAAAUGAGUAAAUGAAGACAGCCUGCAUUUAAAGCCACAGGAAAAAAAAUUC
rnacentral:lncRNA from 10 species